CUUUGAGGUGCAUCUUCAAUUGGCCUUCCUAUUUAGCAAAUGAUUUCCAGGUUAUAACUGCAUGACGAAAGCACUCGACGUUAUGUUAGCUCGAUCUUGGGCUAACAUAAGUUCUUUUACUUGGACGCAGGUGGAGACAUGGAGCUGCCGGAAUGGUGCAAACUGCUGCCCAAGAUCGAGCUCCAUGCCCACCUCAAUGGCUCCGUCAGAGAUUCAACCCUGCUAGAGCUUGCAAAAGUAUUGGGAGAUGAAGAUGUCAUUAAUUUUGAAGAUGUAGUACAUGUUAUCAU